GAUGAACGCUGGCGGCGUGCCUAAUACAUGCAAGUCGAGCGAACAGACGAGGAGCUUGCUCUUCUGACGUUAGCGGCGGACGGGUGAGUAACACGUGGAUAACCUACCUAUAAGACUGGGAUAACUUCGGGAAACCGGAGCUAAUACCGGAUAAUAUUUUGAACCGCAUGGUUCAAUAGUGAAAGACGGUCUUGCUGUCACUUAUAGAUGGAUCCGCGCCGCAUUAGCUAGUUGGUAAGGUAACGGCUUACCAAGGCGACGAUGCGUAGCCGACCUGAGAGGGUGAUCGGCCACACUGGAACUGAGACACGGUCCAGACUCCUACGGGAGGCAGCAGUAGGGAAUCUUCCGCAAAGGGCGAAAGCCUGACGGAGCAACGCCGCGUGAGUGAUGAAGGUCUUCGGAUCGUAAAACUCUGUUAUUAGGGAAGAACAUAUGUGUAAGUAACUAUGCACGUCUUGACGGUACCUAAUCAGAAAGCCACGGCUAACUACGUG
rnacentral:rRNA from 1 species